AUCUAUAUAUCUCUAUAACUAUAUCCUGCGGCCCGCCAUUCCCUCUAGUUAUGUCCGAUGUAUUGCUGAACUCCGAGACAGAAAUAAAAACCCAUAUAAAGAGACUGGAGGACACAAAGAGGCUUCCGAUAUAUCAUUUCUCUGGCAUUGGGGUGAUUUGAUUUGUAUGUAUUCCAGCUAUUGUUAGUUAUCAAACCUUGGGGACGGAGUGCCUGCUGCCCACAGCAACAGGGGAGCUUCGAUUGAGCUAUCUAUCCCGGGAUCAGAAAGCUAAACGACGUUCCAUAAAAGAAAGAAAGAAAGAAAGAAUGGGGCAGAAAGAGAGCUGCAUGCACACACACUGCACCCACACGCGGUAUGAUUAUGAUUAUGAUUAUGAUUAUGAUUAUGAAACGAAAGACAAAAUUCCUGUUCAACAAUUGAGGUCACAUACACCACCACCACCACAUUGAUCACCCACUACAGAAGGCCAUCAUCAACUCAUCAUCACCACAUCAACUCAUCGCCAUCAUCCAUCAUCCAUCAUCCAUCAUCCAUCAUCCACAGCCAGCAGAUCAAUGAUGAACACAACACUCCUCCCUUCCCUCUCUCGGCCCGCGUAAGGUGCUGACGCACGCUUCCCCCGGCCUAGCGUUGUCCACGGACGAAAUCGGCCCCCAAGCCAGCCAAUGGGGGGUGCGAGUGUCCGCAAGUCCCCAGAAAGGGUUCCCCCCUUGGGAGCCACUCAGAGCAGCGAUUCUCACAUGCAAAUCCUCCGGCUUGGCUGUUGGUUGGGCCGUGGGGAACAGUACGAGUAAGUAUGUAUAUCAUGAUUGAUGUCAAUCGAUGUCGUGGCAUGGUACUGUGGGAACUUGUGGCUGCUAGGGAAUGUGUUCUGUUGCCCUUCUUCCGUUUGGCCGGCUCCUGCCGCUCCCGGCUUCGUUAGUUUCGAUUCAGAUCUGCGUACGACGCGGGUGGGUUGUUGUCGUCAUGGUUCGUUUCAGAAACGGAAGGAUAGAAUGUAGGAAAAAAAAAAAAGAAAAUAUAUGAUGUGGCCAGCGGGUUGGGCUGGGGGGGGUUGAAUGGCGAACAGGGGAGGUGCAGGUUUCAUCUGUGUACGAUCAUCGACCGAUCGACCGUCCAUCACACGGCACUGAGGGUAGUUUUUGAAGAAGGGAUCGCUAGAGAAACAAGCCUUACCUUUUCUCUUGUUAGUUCCCAGGGGUGUGUGUUCCUGACCCUGACCUGGGAGUGGCGGCGAGCGACGAUCAUCCACGGUGCCUGGUUUCCCAGAAGCGACAAACCAGGCAUGAUCGGUGAUGAUGACGAUGACGAUGACGCUGGCCAUGACGAUGGCGUGGAUGAAUGGAGUAUCAUAUUAUUUUAAUAUCCACCGUCACAGGCGCUUUGCAGGAGAAGGAGAGAAGGACAGUGUGGCCUCCCCCCGCCUGCGAUGCAUGGUUUGGCUGUAUAUGGACCAUUCUCAGGACGGGGGCUUGCUGCGAAUAUAGCAU
rnacentral:sRNA from 1 species